CAUUCUUCUAAAAACUAUUAAUUAAAAUAAUCAAAUUUAAGUUAAUAAAAUAACUUUCCCCCCUCCAUUCUCUUUUAACGGCUAAACAAUUGUCUAUAUCACAGGCCCUGAGCUCCUCGCCUCUCUCUCUCUCUCUCCCCCCCCUACUGUAACAAUCCGGCCCAUCUCCACCAUACCCGGCCCAGUUCCAGGCCCACUAUCAAACCCCCUCUCUUCCCAAAUCCUCUCUCAUUCCAAAUUCUGCUCCAUCACUUUUACAAUCUACGAUGGAAGGGUGCCUUCAAUCUUUGGAUUUUGACAGUGCAUAUAAGAUGUUUGACGAAAUGGCAAAGAGAAAUGUGGUUUGUGGGAGCAUGUUGUUCUCUUGGUCUGUGAGUUGUGGUUAAUUGGAGGAAGCAUUUGGAGCAGUAUAAGUUGGUGCAAGUUGUACUUUGGGAAUCUUGACGUGUUUUCUUGGAAUUCGAUAAUCGAUGUGUACGAUAAACACGGAGACAUGAGGCUGGAGGUUUGUUGGAUUCUACAUCGAUGGCGCAAAGUUGGCCAAAGGAGGUGCUUGAUCAAGCUGGAUUUCUCGAAGUCAACAUGGACAAUGUAUGUCGGGCUUUACUGUUCAACUUAAUUUCUGCAGCCAAAAGGUCUCAAGCAAGGUGAUCCUCUCUCCUGUCAAUUCUGUUCAUUUUUCAGGUUGAUAUUGAUACGGGUCGAAAUGUCAUCUUGGAAUCACAUCUGUUUGCGAGGGAAUGUUUCGAAUAAACCCAAAAGCUGAGAACGACCAGGUAGUUCGUGACUCAAAAAGACCUACCUGUUGUAAAGAGAAACGACAAGCCCCCAUCGAUCACUCUCGCGCUCAGACCUACAAGCCGUCCGUCCACUUGCUUCAGACCGUCGCCCGCUGGCCAAAGAUCCGUCGCUCGCUCAACCAACAUUGAGAUCUGCUGCCCUUCGCCUCCUCUCCUUGUCAUCAGCCACCAUGCCACCAGAUUCCGAUUCCGAACCAAAUCAGAGAUGAACCAAAUUGUCUUCCUCUCCAAUUCCGAAGUCGGCAUCAGGUUGUCUCAUGGCAAGAUUAGGGGAAUAUGUAGACAAUGAUAUUUUUCGUGCAAAUGAAGAAAUAGAAAAGACGACGCAAGAGAGUCAGCCACAUGAAGAUGAACAUCUAGAAGAAAACUUGAGUCACAUAUCAUGUAUUGAUGAACCGAAGAUCGGUAUGAUGUUCAAAAGUUUGGAGGAAGCAAUGAAUUAUUAUAGUGCUUAUGCACUAUUCAUUGA